UCCACUGUUUCCUUUUGGCCCUUUAUGCUCUUCUUUGUCAUAAAUCUACCUAAACACUGGAAACAACAAAAUACCAAGAUGAGGCACCACUAUCCUUUUAGUAUUAAAUAUCUUUUUUCCAAAUUUAUAUGAGAAGAAAGAAUAGAUGAUGAACAAGUUGCCUUGAGCUUUGAGAUAUCUGGCAGGUAUGAGGGAAAUGAAGAGGGUCUAUGGCUGCAUUGUGUAAAAUAUUCAGGAUCUGCGUACUCUCUACCUUUCUAGACCUCACUUGUGGGAUUUCAUCGGGAAUGUUGUUAGUUAGGGAAAACAAGUGGAUGGGAAGGAUUAGUCUUCGAUCUUUUUUUUUUUUUAAUUCUCAAAUUUCAAUCCUAGAGAGUAUGUGAGAACUUCAGUACAUUCGUGUUGCACUGCCUGGAGUAAGGCACAAGAGUGAGUACUUUUAAAUGAAUUUCUCUGCUGUCUAUUUUGUGGUGUUGUUGUUACUAUGUCUAUUUUCUAAAGUGGGUAUUUUGCCAGGACCAGUUGAUCCUAGAUUAUAUUUCCCACAGUUUAGGGCAGAUGGCAUUCUGAAAGUCAUAGUCUUGAAAUACCCAAUACCUCUGGUUUCAGCUGAAGGUUUGCCUGAGCACUGGUUCAAUGGCUCUUUCCCAGUUUCUUGAAUUGUAGCUGGUCCGCAUUCCCCUAAGAAACAAGAAGCUUAUUUAUUUUGUAGCUUAUGUCAUGAAUAUAGCAUAGCGUUAGAAACAACUUCCCAACUUCUAGAGGGCCAUAACUGUAAACAAUGAAUUUUGUAUCACAUGUUUCAUUGGAAAUUUUGUCAAUGCUUGCUUGAUUUUCAAUUGUGUGUGUACUUUUAUGGGAAAAAAACUUGGUAUCGACAUCUUUUCCAAUCUUUAUCAUGGUCUAUGUUUUCCUAUGUCUAUUAUCAUUUAUCAGCUUAAUGUGAGUCCAUUAUUUACCGGAUCAAUACUGGGAAAACCAUGAAAAAAGUAACUGGGCAAAAUUUUUAAGAAUUCAACUACAUGAUAUCAAUCUAAAGCUGUUGAUAUCUCGAGUGAGCUCUAGUCUAUAAAUUUAUUUCAACAAAGUUUUGUAUGCAAAUUUUGCCCUCCCGGGACUUUUGUAAGAUGAAACAUCAUACUCUCAGAUGACAUUUGAAAGAUAGAAAAGAGUUGCAAGCUAUAUUGAAAAUCACUUCACAUAAAACACCAACAACUCUUAUGUCUUUAAGUAUUAAUGCUACAAAUGCUAGCUGAAAUGUUGGUAUAAGAUUUCUACUCAAUUCAUUCUUGAAACAAUUAUUAGACUUAGAAAUAAUCCACAAAACAGAAUUCAUUAGACUUUAAACGGGUUAGGAAUUUUAAGAGUAUCCACUUAAGUUUGAUUACGAGUUGGACAUUGGUGCCUUUUUGAACUUCCAUAGUUCUUCUCCCACUUUACUUUGAAUGUGCUUGUCCAUAGUUCCUUUUGCUCUACAAGUUGGUGCGAUGUUUGAGAUCUACGGGUACACCGUUCAACUGUUUGCUCCAAUGAAAGUGUCACCAUGGCUAGCCUCGAGCUUUCUUUAGAAGGCCGCUGAAAGAUUUGUUGUCAACACUCCCCAACUUUUGCAGAAACGUUACUCACAGCAACGUUUUUAUCUGAAAAUGUGACUGAUGAUUACGAUUUUAAGGCGAAACUUCGGUCAAAAAAAUUGAUGGGAGUUGAUUUGAUAGAAUUGUUAUUCGGAGUAACGUUUUACAGCUAAAACGUUAUUGUUAAUAACGUAUUUAAUGUCAGAUUUAUACAAAAAAAUUUAUGUGGCAGAGCUACAGAGAAACGUUACUGAUGGUAACAUCUUAUGUCUAAAACGUUACUGACAGUAACGUUUUAUGUGAAAACGUUACUGUGAGUAACGUUUUCUAUUCUAACGUCUAACAACAAUUCCGUUUGAGCCGUUAAGUUUUCUUAAAACAUAAAACGUUAUUGGGAACCACGUUUAUAUUACUUUUGUAAAAAUUUUAAAAAACAUAUUAUUUUGGUGAAUUGAUUAAAAAAAUAGCUUAUUUCCGUCAAGGAUUUCUGUCUUUUGUCAUCUAGUAAUUCGUUCUACGUUUGGUUUAUUUCUAAUUCUUAUACUAACUCUCUCUCUCUUGUGGUUUUAUGUAGGCGAAUGGAGCUUCUGACAUAUAGUGGAUGUGAAGUCUGCAUCAUUUUGCCUCGGGU
rnacentral:lncRNA from 1 species